rnacentral:rRNA from 1 species
UACGAAGGGGCUAGCGUUGUUCGGAAUCACUGGGCGUAAAGCGCACGCAGGCGGAUCGUUAAGUCAGGGGUGAAAUGCCGAGGCUCAACCUCGGAACUGCCUUUGAUACUGGCGAUCUUGGAGUCCGGGAGAGGUGAGUGGAACUCCGAGUGUAGAGGUGAAAUUCGUAGAUAUUCGGAAGAACACCAGUGGCGAAGGCGGCUCACUGGCCCGGUACUGACGCUCAGGUGCGAAAGCGUGGGAGCAAACAGGG